rnacentral:rRNA from 1 species
UACGUAGGGUCCGAGCGUUGUCCGGAAUUAUUGGGCGUAAAGGGCUCGUAGGCGGUCUGUCGCGUCGGGAGUGAAAUUUUACAGCUUAACUGUGAACGUGCUUUCGAUACGGGCAGACUGGAGGCAUGCAGGGGGAGAACGGAAUUCCUGGUGUAGCGGUGAAAUGCGCAGAUAUACAGGAGGAACACCGGUGGCGAAGGCGGUUCUCUGGGCAUGUCCAUGACGCUGGAG